UCAGGCUCCUACUAGCCAAAGUUAUAUUGCAAAGGUGGUCUUAAUGGGAUGUCAUUUAUUUAACUCUUUAAUACUUAGGGCAAUUGUUAAAUGUACAGUAUUUUCUGGGGCUCCUUCUCUGAAAGGGGAAGAAUAUAUCUAUAAAAUAUUUUAUGAGCCAGUUAAUUUUGGAUCUAGCUGAAAAAAGAUUAAAUUAUUAUUCACUUUGAAACCUACACCACUCGUGCCAGAGUACUUGAUGUUUACACUUAUCUGGAGCUCAGACUCUUUAUGCUACACAAAUCUGAGGGGGGCCUUCCUUGCUCCGUCCACCACCACCCACAGUUAUAAAGCCAACUAAACAGAGAAGAUGGAAGAAGCAGUUAUGAAAUCGCUCACUUCUCUGCCUUGGUUCUAUGGCCAUUAUUUGCAUAAAAUAAAUAAUAUGCAUUAAAUUAAAAAUCAGCAUUAAAAUUGGAAAUGAGGGAAAAAAA